rnacentral:other from 1 species
GGCAAGCUGCGGAGCUCGUGAUCUGUCUAAUCCCAGGGGCCGAUAAUCGUUCGCAUAGGGAGCUGUCCCUGACCGGAUCUUGGUCCGGUUAUAUGGCGCCCACCUGUUUACCAGGGCCACAUGCGGAUUUUGCACCAGACACGGCUCUCGCGGUGCUU